rnacentral:rRNA from 1 species
UGGGGGAUAUUGCACAAUGGGCGAAAGCCUGAUGCAGCAACGCCGCGUGAGGGAAGACGGUUUUCGGAUUGUAAACCUCUGUCUUCGGUGAAGAAACAAAUGACGGUAGCCGAGGAGGAAGCCACGGCUAACUCCGUGCCAGCAGCCGCGGUAAUACGUAGGUGGCAAGCGUUGUCCGGAAUUACUGGGUGUAAAGGGAGCGCAGGCGGGGAGACAAGUCAGCUGUGAAAUCGAGGGGCUUAACCCAUUAACUGCAGUUGAAACUGUUAGUCUUGAGUGGAGUAGAGGUAGGCGGAAUUCCGAGUGUAGCGGUGAAAUGCGUAGAUAUUCGGAGGAACACCAGUGGCGAAGGCGGCCUACUGGGCUCUAACUGACGCUGAGGCUCGAAAGUGUGGGGAGCAAACA